GUCGAGAAUCUUCCGCAAUGCGCGAAAGCGUGACGGAGCGACACCGCGUGAUGGAUGAAGUCCUUCGGGGCGUAAACAUCUUUUAUAAAGGAGGAAAUUUUUGACGUUACUUUAUGAAUAAGGGGCUCCCAAUCUCGUGCCAGCAGGAGCGGUAAUACGAGAGCCUCAAGCGUUAUCCGGAAUCAUUGGGCGUAAAGGGUGCGUAGGUGGUUUGAUUAGUCUCCCGUUAAGACUUCGAGCUUAACUCGAAAAGAGCAGGGGAAACGGUCAAACUAGAGUAUGUGAGAGGUGUGUGGAACUCAUGGUGUAGGGGUGAAAUCCGUUGAUAUCAUGGGGAACACCAAAAGCGAAGGCAGCACACUGGCACAUCACUGACACUGAGGCACGAAACCUAAGGUAGCGAAUGGGAUUAGAUACCCUAGUAGUCC
rnacentral:rRNA from 1 species